UUUCCGUAGGUGAACCUGCGGAAGGAUCAUUAUUGAAUGAAACACUUCUGGCUUUAUGCUGUUGUGCUGGCCCUUUGGGCAAUGUGCACACGGCUCUGGUCACUUGUUUCUUCUGUUCCACCUGUGCACUGCCUGUAGACACGCUGUGUCUAUGAUAUUUGUUAACACACAACAAUGUUAGUUGGCAUGUUAUAUAUAAUAAUAAAGUAUACAACUUUCAACAACGGAUCUCUUGGCUCUC
rnacentral:misc_RNA from 1 species